CUUGACAUUAGAAUGAAGGUGCUACGUCCACAAAUUAAACCGUAAAUCUUUUGAAAAUACAUGCGAAAUGUUCUAUAUCCUUGUCAAAAAGUUCUCGUUCACCACAAACCCCUCAAAAUCUAAACGUUGUUUAACAGGGCAGUGGACUAACGCGAUUCAUAAUGCAAAAAUAAUCACCUGUAAAAAAAUUUUAAUUAAAGCAGAAAAUUCUCUAUGAAAUUACAAAGCUCUAAAACCCUUAAUUGUUUCUUACAGCAUCAAGUAUUUCAGUUUAGAAAAGCCAAUUAAUGGUAAUGUUGCCAAGCCAUGUG
rnacentral:misc_RNA from 1 species